rnacentral:rRNA from 1 species
CCUACGGGUGGCUGCAGUGAGGAAUAUUGGUCAAUGGACGCAAGUCUGAACCAGCCAUGCCGCGUGCAGGAAGACGGCUCUAUGAGUUGUAAACUCCUUUUGUACGGGGGUAAACGCAGAUACGCGUCUCUGUCUGAAAGUACCGUAUGAAUAAGGAUCGGCUAACUCCGCGCCAGCAGCCGCGGUAAUACGGAGGAUGCAAGCGUUAUCCGGAUUUAUUGGGUUUAAAGGGUGCGUAGGCGGUCGGCUAAGUUAGAGGUGAAAUCCCGAGGCUCAACUUGGGAAGUGCCUCUGAUACUGUGAGGCUAGAGAGUAGUUGAGGUAGGCGGAAUGUAUGGUGUAGCGGUGAAAUGCUUAGAGAUCA